rnacentral:rRNA from 1 species
ACCCGCUGAACUUAAGCAUAUCAAUAAGCGGAGGAAAAGAAACCAACAGGGAUUGCCUCAGUAACGGCGAGUGAAGCGGCAAGAGCUCAAAUUUAAAAGCCGACGUAGCUUUAAGAGACGUCCGCAUUGUAAUUUGAAGAGGCAUUCUCGGGUCGGGGCUCAGGCCUAAGUUCCUUGGAAGAGGGCGUCGUGGAGGGUGAGAACCCCGUUCGCUGCCUGCUGUCGACCUUUCCCCGAUCCACACGAGGUGCCAUCGAAGAGUCGAGUUGUUUGUGAAUGCAGCUCAAAGCGGGUGGUAAAUUCCAUCUAAAGCUAAAUAUUGGACGGGAGACCGAUAGCGAACAAGUAGAGUGAUCGAAAGAUGAAAAGCACUUAGUAGAGAGGGUUAAACAGCACGUGAAAUUGUGAAAGGGAAGCGCUUGAGACCAGUCACGGACCGAGGCGAUCAGUGGGACGUUCCUCUCGGGGGAGGAACCGCGCACUCGCUUUUCGGGUUUUCCGGGUCAACAUCGGUUGGGACGGUGUCAGAAAGGUCGCGGGAACGUGGCUCCCUUCACGGGGAGUGUUAUAGCGCGUGGCGUCAAAGUCGCCAGUUUCGACCGAGGACCGCGCUCGUCUUUUUCGAGCAAGGAUGUUGACGUAAUGGUCCC